rnacentral:rRNA from 1 species
CUGCAGCUCAAGUGGUGGCCGCUAUUAUUGGGCCUAAAACGUCCGUAGCCGGUUUAGUAAAUGCUUGGGUAAAUUGUGUAGCUUAACUAUACGAAUACCGGGUAGACUGCUAAACUUGGGACCGGGAGAGGCUAGAGGUACUCCUAGGGUAGAGGUGAAAUUCUGUAAUCCUAGGGGGACCACCAGUGGCGAAGGCGUCUAGCUAGAACGGGUCUGACGGUGAGGGACGAAGCCCUGGGGCGCAAACCGGAUUAGAUACCCGAGUAGUCC